UUUCCGUAGGUGAACCUGCGGAAGGAUCAUUACCGAGUGAGGGCCCUCUGGGUCCAACCUCCCACCCGUGUCUAUCGUACCUUGUUGCUUCGGCGGGCCCGCCUCACGGCCGCCGGGGGGCACCCGCCCCCGGGCCCGCGCCCGCCGAAGACACCAUUGAACGCUGUCUGAAGAUUGCAGUCUGAGCAUCUUAGCUAAAUCAGUUAAAACUUUCAACAACGGAUCUCUUGGUUCCG
rnacentral:misc_RNA from 1 species